GACGAACGCUGGCGGCGUGCUUAACACAUGCAAGUCGAACGGAAAGGCCCUGCUUUUGUGGGGUGCUCGAGUGGCGAACGGGUGAGUAACACGUGAGUAACCUGCCCUUGACUUUGUGAUAACUUCAGGAAACUGGGGCUACUACCGGAUAGGAGCUCCUGCUGCAUGGUGGGGGUUGGAAAGUUUAGGCGGUUGGGGGUGGACUCGCGGCUUAUCAGCUUGUUGGUGGGGUAGUGGCUUACCAAGGCUUUGACGGCUAGCCGGCCUGAGAGGGUGACCGGCCACAUUGGUACUGAGAGACGGCGCAGACGCCAACGGGAGGCAGCAGUGGGGAGUAUUGUACAAUGGGGGGAAGCCUGAGGCAGAAACGCCGCGUGCGGGAAGACGGCCUUCGGGUUGUAAACCGCUUUAGCUUGUGACGAAGCGUGAGUGACGGUAAUGGGUAAAGAAGCACCGGCUAACUACGUG
rnacentral:rRNA from 1 species